ACUCCUACGGGAGGCAGCAGUGGGGAAUAUUGCACAAUGGGGGAAACCCUGAUGCAGCCAUGCCGCGUGUGUGAAGAAGGCCUUGGGUUGUAAAGCACUUUCAGUAGGGAGGAAGGUAGUGUAGUUAACACCUGCAUUAUUUGUACGUUACCUACAGAAGAAGCACCGGCUAACUCCGUGCCAGCAGCCGCGGUAAUACGGAGGGUGCGAGCGUUAAUCGGAAUUACGUGGGCGUAAAGCGCAUGCAGGCGGCCUGUUAAGUCAGAUGUGAAAGCCCGGGGUCUUAACCUCGGAAUUGCAUUUGAAACUGGCAGGCUAGAGUCUUGUAGAGGGGUUAGAAUUUCAGGUGUAGCGGUGAAAUGCGUAGAGAUCUGAAGG
rnacentral:rRNA from 1 species